ACGGAAAGAAUUUUCCCAUAAAUGUUCCCCAUCCGCCUUCUGAACCGUUUGCCCCGCAUCCGGUUGGGGUGAGUCGAUCCCACAAACCAUACGGCACGAUAAGAGGGACUUAGCGGAAAAAAGUCAUUGAUUGCCACCUCUUGGAACAUAACGAUAGGGAGGUUGACCCUCCAACAAUGAGGAAAUACUGACAGUCUGACAAUGUGCUAAUGUGCGGGUGAAGCCCUCCACAGUAAGUUACUGUCCACAGCAUGGGAGACUCAUUGUCACGCAGGUUGUUAUUUAAUCAGUAUUGGGUUUACUGUAGGUGUGGACAGAUACUUUCAAAAUGCACAAAAUACCUAUCCAAACAUUGGCUUAACUUAUUGAAAGACGAGACAGGGUUCAUAUUUAAUAUUUAUCUAGCAGUUAAGCUUUAGUAAUCAAAACACACGGAUACAUGAAUCACUUUCUGCUCCUUGAAAUGUUACUUCCCGCAGUACUGCACACUGGAGAAUAAAACCUACAUGAAGAUUUAUGGUUCUGAGAUAAACUGACUACUGCAGUCUGAUAACAAUAGAUCUUCCGC